rnacentral:lncRNA from 1 species
GGAUUACUUUCUUGUUGAAUUCAAGUCCUAAGACAGUUCUUAUUUAAACCCUUAACAUCUACAUAUUUGAGUUCUUAUAACCCUUAACUUCUACAUAUUUAAACCCUAAGUCUGGCACCUUUCCCAUUCAUCUUAUAAACUGAUUUUAUUGCUUUAUUUACUGCUUUUAAUAUUUCUAGCCUAGCUUAAUUUUAAAUCUAAAGUAUAUUGUGUUAUCCACGCUCCCUGUUGAUUUGAUCCCGAAGUACUGCAAUCAAUCUUUUAUUUAAGAGAGUUUCUCUAGGAUAAUUUGAUCCUUAUCAAUGUUCAAGGAGUACAAUGAGAGAUAUGGGAAGAGUCAAGGAGGGUAAGUUGAUCAGUCUAAAACCUCCAACACUCAAGCCUCUCAGUGUAGUC